UACGUAGGGUGCAAGCGUUAAUCGGAAUUACUGGGCGUAAAGCGUGCGCAGGCGGUUUGUAAGUCUGUCGUGAAAGCCCCGGGCUCAACCUGGGAAUUGCGAUGGAGACUGCAAGGCUUGAAUCUGGCAGAGGGGGGUAGAAUUCCACGUGUAGCAGUGAAAUGCGUAGAGAUGUGGAGGAACACCGAUGGCGAAGGCAGCCCCCUGGGUCAAGAUUGACGCUCAUGCACGAAAGCGUGGGGAGCAA
rnacentral:rRNA from 1 species